UACGUAGGGUGCAGGCGUUAAUCGGAAUUACUGGGCGUAAAGCGUGCGCAGGCGGUUUCCUAAGUCAGAUGUGAAAGCCCCGGGCUUAACCUGGGAACUGCGUUUGAAACUGGGAGACUGGAGUGUGGCAGAGGGGGGUGGAAUUCCACGUGUAGCAGUGAAAUGCGUAGAUAUGUGGAGGAACACCGAUGGCGAAGGCAGCCCCCUGGGUUAACACUGACGCUCAUGCACGAAAGCGUGGGGAGCAAACAGG
rnacentral:rRNA from 1 species